rnacentral:rRNA from 11 species
GCAUGGUUCUAAAUACUUUAAAAGCAAUAAAUCAUGUUCGAUCUGGACAGCUAAGCAGGGUCAGUCCUGGUUAACACUUGGAUGGGAAACUACCAACAAGGGCCAGGUGCUGUAGGCU